AUACGGAGGGUCCAAGCGUUAUCCGGAAUCAUUGGGUUUAAAGGGUCCGCAGGCGGUCAAUUAAGUCAGAGGUGAAAGCCCAUCGCUCAACGAUGGAACUGCCUUUGAUACUGGUUGACUUGAGUUAUACGGAAGUAGAUAGAAUAAGUGGUGUAGCGGUGAAAUGCAUAGAUAUUACUUAGAAUACCGAUUGCGAAGGCAGUCUACUACGUAUAUACUGACGCUGAGGGACGAAAGCGUGGGGAGCGAACAGGAUUAGAAACCCUAGUAGUCC
rnacentral:rRNA from 1 species